rnacentral:rRNA from 1 species
GACAGAGGUGCCAAGCGUUAGGCGGAAUCACUGGGCUUAAAGCGUGUGUAGGCGGAGUCGUUAAGGUACCUUGUGAAAUCCCACGGCUCAACCGUGGAACUGCUGGGUAUACUGGCGAUCUUGAGGCCACCUAGGGGGACGAGCGGAACAAGCGGUGGAAGCGGUGAAAUGCGUAGAUAUCGCUUGGAACGCCAAUGGUGAAAACAGCUCGCUGGGGGUGUGCUGACGCU